rnacentral:rRNA from 1 species
CCCUUAGAUGUUCUGGGCCGCACGCGCGCUACACUGACGAAUGCAACGAGCUUAUAACCUUGGCCGAAAGGUCUGGGUAAUCUCCAAAUUUCGUCGUGAUGGGGAUAGAUUAUUGCAAUUAUUAAUCUUCAACGAGGAAUGCCUAGUAAGCGCAAGUCAUCAGCUUGCGUUGAUUACGUCCCUGCCCUUUGUACACACCGCCCGUCGCUCCUACCGAUGAAUUGUCCGGUGAAGUUCAUGGAGAGCUGUUUCACUGAGAUGUGCUUAAAGCGAGAUGAACCUAGCGGUUUAGAGGAAGGAGAAGUCGUAACA